GAUUGACAGGUCCUAUGGAGGAGGAAGCAGAGACUCUGCUCUCCUCGUUUGGAUUAAUUCUGAUAUAAUAACUGUUGGUUUAUUUAUCGGUGCAACAGCAGAACAUUUUCCACAGACAGUUUUCCUGCCCGUUGGCUUGUUUUAACCAGUUUUCUGCCUUCGGCUGAUUCUACCAGCAGACACUGAAAGGACUGAUAGUUCGAGUGAAAGUAGCAAUUCCUCCUUAAGGUCAGCGAUUGCAGCAUCUGAGGGCCUCUUCAAAAGAAGACGUAGCUGAUGAAGGCGUUCUGGAGCAGGACCAGAAAGACCACGACCAAGCAGCCUUGAGAUAUUAGGCAGCGUCUCCUUCAGGUCCCUCUCUAUCUCCCCACACAUCCACCAACCACUGGAACACAUCUCCAAAGUUCUGCUGGGCCAGCUCGGCUUCCCCUCAGAAGAAGUGCUGCCACCUGCCAGAUGAAGGAGCCUUUUGACAGGCAGCUGGCAUCGUGAUUGGACUGUACUUUGGUCUGUUCCAAUCCAGCUUCAGCUCCAGAGACGGCAGGCGGGACGAGUCAACGGAGGCCGGGUGGAUGAAGGCAUGCAGCUGAGUACAAUCCAGAAAACAACAGAGGAGGAGUG
ensembl:lncRNA